UACGUAGGGUGCGAGCGUUAAUCGGAAUUACUGGGCGUAAAGGGCUCGUAGGCGGCCAACUAAGUCGGAUGUGAAAUCCCCAGGCUUAACCUGGGAACUGCAUCCGAUACUGGAUGGCUUGAAUCCGGGAGAGGGAUGCAGAAUUCCAGGUGUAGCGGUGAAAUGCGUAGAUAUCUGGAGGAAUACCGGUGGCGAAGGCGGCAUCCUGGACCGGCAUUGACGCUGAGGGAGCGAAAGCCAGGGGAGCAAACGGG
rnacentral:rRNA from 1 species